GAUCGCUGAAGAGCCGACGGCCGACGACUACAACUCUCUUCAGUAAAACAGUAAAUUUUCUGUUCUAGACUUCUAGUGUAGUACUCACUGGUCGGUAAGUCCUAUCGUAGUGUCGAUUGUCGUCUAUUGAUUAUUGGCUUUUCAGCUUUUGCCGUCUGUAUUCCUUUUACUUUAUCGUGAUAAUAUUAUGAUCAUUAUUGUUCUGUGUACCUACUUAUAUAAUAUAUUUUGUUUUGUGAUACAAUUACGAGUUUCAAAUUUGAAUCUUAAAAUUCUUGCCGACAAAAACAAAGGCAUUAAUGAAACAGGUUUACUACACGAAAACGAUUCGUUAUCCAAGCAUCGGACGAAGAGGAACAAGAUUGUGUUAAAUCGUCUGAAUCCUCCAUCCCCACGAUUACACAAGCACAAAUGUAUCAAAAACAAACCGAAGGCCAAUGAUGACAUUUUUGAAGCUUUAAAUAAAAUAGAAUGAUCAAUUGUAAAUGCUGCAAUGAACAGCAAAACUCAAAACAAAAAUAAAUACUUUUUAAAAAUAAUUUUCUAGCCUAAUUUUUGUUCAUUCAUUUUUUAAAUUAUACACGUAUAAAUAGUAAACACCUUCAUACAUUUUAUAAUAAAUACUUAGUAAUUAAUUUAUUGUACUGUUUUAAGUAAAAUAUAUUAUAUUCAGAUA